rnacentral:rRNA from 1 species
CCUGGUAGUCCACACGGUAAACGAUGAAUACUCGCUGUUUGCGAUAUACAGCAAGCGGCCAAGCGAAAGCGUUAAGUAUUCCACCUGGGGAGUACGCCGGCAACGGUGAAACUCAAAGGAAUUGACGGGGGCCCGCACAAGCGGAGGAACAUGUGGUUUAAUUCGAUGAUACGCGAGGAACCUUACCCGGGCUUAAAUUGCAGAUGAAUUACGGUGAAAGCCGUAAGCCGCAAGGCAUCUGUGAAGGUGCUGCAUGGUUGUCGUCAGCUCGUGCCGUGAGGUGUCGGCUUAAGUGCCAUAACGAGCGCAACCCUUGUUGUCAGUUACUAACAGGAUUUGCUGAGGACUCUGACAAGACUGCCAUCGUAAGAUGUGAGGAAGGUGGGGAUGACGUCAAAUCAGCACGGCCCUUACGUCCGGGGCUACACACGUGUUACAAUGGGGGGUACAGAGGGCCGCUACCACGCGAGUGGAUGCCAAUCCCAAAAACCUCUCUCAGUUCGGACUGGAGUCUGCAACCCGACUCCACGAAGCUGGAUUCGCUAGUAAUCGCGCAUCAGCCACGGCGCGGUGAAUACGUUCCCGGGCCUUGUACACACCGCCCGUCAAGCCAUGGGAGCCGGGGGUACCUGAAGUGCGUAACCGCGAGGAGCGCCCUAGGGUAAAACUGGUGACUGGGGCUAAGUCGUAACAAGGUAGCCGUACCGGAAGGUGCGGCUGGAACACCUCCUUUCUGGAG